rnacentral:rRNA from 1 species
UGGGGAAUAUUGCACAAUGGGCGCAAGCCUGAUGCAGCCAUGCCGCGUGUAUUAAGAAGGCCUUCGGGUUGUAAAGUACUUUCAGUCGGGAGGAAGGUGGUAAGGUUAAUAACCUUAUCAAUUGACGUUACUGACAGAAGAAGCACCGGCUAACUCCGUGCCAGCAGCCGCGGUAAUACGGUGGGUGUAAGCGUUAAUCGGAAUUACUGGGCGUAAAGCGCACGCAGGCGGUUUGUUAAGUCAGAUGUGAAAUCCCCGGGCUCAACCUGGGAACUGCAUCUGGUACUGGCAAGCUUGAGUCUCGUAGAGGGGGGUAGAAUUCCAGGUGUAGCGGUGAAAUGCGUAGCGAUCUGGAGGAAUACCGGUGGCGAAGGCGGCCCCCUGGACAAAGAAUGACGCUCAGGUGCGAAAGCGUGGGGAGCAAACAGG